AAAUUGGGUCAAUGGGCGCAGGCCUGAACCAGCCAAGUAGCGUGAAGGAUGACUGCCCUAUGGGUUGUAAACUUCUUUUAUAUGGGAAUAAAGUUUUCCACGUGUGGAAUUUUGUAUGUACCAUAUGAAUAAGGAUCGGCUAACUCCGUGCCAGCAGCCGCGGUAAUACGGAGGAUCCGAGCGUUAUCCGGAUUUAUUGGGUUUAAAGGGAGCGUAGGUGGACAGUUAAGUCAGUUGUGAAAGUUUGCGGCUCAACCGUAAAAUUGCAGUUGAUACUGGCUGUCUUGAGUACAGUAGAGGUGGGCGGAAUUCGUGGUGUAGCGGUGAAAUGCUUAGAUAUCACGAAGAACUCCGAUUGCGAAGGCAGCUCACUGGACUGCAACUGACACUGAUGCUCGAAAGUGUGGGUAUCAAACAGGAUUAGAUACCCUGGUAGUCCACACAGUAAACGAUGAAUACUCGCUGUUUGCGAUAUACAGUAAGCGGCCAAGCGAAAGCAUUAAGUAUUCCACCUGGGGAGUACGCCGGCAACGGUGAAACUCAAAGGAAUUGACGGGGGCCCGCACAAGCGGAGGAACAUGUGGUUUAAUUCGAUGAUACGCGAGGAACCUUACCCGGGCUUAAAUUGCAUUUGAAUAUAUUGGAAACAGUAUAGCCGUAAGGCAAAUGUGAAGGUGCUGCAUGGUUGUCGUCAGCUCGUGCCGUGAGGUGUCGGCUUAAGUGCCAUAACGAGCGCAACCCUUAUCUUUAGUUACUAACAGGUCAUGCUGAGGACUCUAGAGAGACUGCCGUCGUAAGAUGUGAGGAAGGUGGGGAUGACGUCAAAUCAGCACGGCCCUUACGUCCGGGGCUACACACGUGUUACAAUGGGGGGUACAGAAGGCAGCUACCUGGUGACAGGAUGCUAAUCCCAAAAGCCUCUCUCAGUUCGGAUCGAAGUCUGCAACCCGACUUCGUGAAGCUGGAUUCGCUAGUAAUCGCGCAUCAGCCAUGGCGCGGUGAAUACGUUCCCGGGCCUUGUACUCACCGCCCGU
rnacentral:rRNA from 1 species